AUGUUGGCUGGUGUGUGGGUGUCAAACUGAGCCAGACGCGGCGGUGGCGGCGGCUCCGCGGGCUACGGUCGCUCCCGCCUCUCGAGCGCUGCCGGUGGCCGCAGCGGCGCACCCACGCCGGCCCGGAGGAGCAGAGGAAGAUGGAGAUGUUUCCUCACUCGUGGACUGCACCUCAGGAAAGAUAAAGCCAGUGAAUUGAGGAUUGCGGAGUAUUGCACACAUUCAGGUGUCCUGCAGUGGACACCAUGACACUGACUCCAGCAUGCCUAGAAAUCACCAUGGGGGCUUAAGAGAGUGGCACCCCCUCAGCUCUGCCCCCAGAAUGACUGGAUUUUUGAACAGACUCCCAGGAAGUUCUGAUGUAUCUGGUUGAUGGACCACACUGGUGGAACACUGUGGGAAAG
rnacentral:lncRNA from 10 species